CCCAAUUUCUUAGUUUCGGGCGGAGGAUUUUUGGCCACACAACAAUUUUGUGGAUUUCACCGCCGAUCUCUCUCUCUACUUCAGUUGCCUCGCCGUCUCUCACCAAACCAUGGCGUUAUUAGGCUGGACAUGCGCAUGAAUCUAGGGUCCCCGUCCAGCCAUAUGUCCAGAACCAUCACACCCGCCCUGUUGGCCAUCUCAGGUGCCCGGCGGUCAUGGAUCCGUCGUGACCAUCAAUUCCGAUGGCAGACGGGUUCGUAUGGGCGGGUCCGUUGACCUUGACGGCGUGCAGGGACGGGGCGCCUGGAGACGUCGAUCCCGUGGUUGGGCAAGGACAGGAAGCCCGACGAGCAGAGUCUUGACCACCACGUGGAUAUUCUGGCUACUGGCAGCCUCAAGGUUCCCACCAACAACUCCGGGCUGCAGUGCCUUGAAGGUGAAGCACAUUCCUUGGAUUUUUCUCUUUGUCGUAUUCAGAUUUGAAAUUAUGUUUCUCAAAUGGAGAAGAGAAAUUGAGAAAUCAUAUGGAGAAGGAAUGGCAGAACCGUGAAAAAUAAGUCAGAUGCUUGUUGGAAGAUAGAUACUGAUUUUUGCUGGAUACAACAAGGCAAUCAGUGUGUUUGAUGUUCAUCGGCCUGGCGGAGAUUUUGAGCAAUACUCUUUGCAUAAAGGGGGUGAAGGGCCAACUGGUAUAGUAUCUUCAAUUUCGUUCUCUCCUCAAAAUGGGAUGCUCGCAGUUGGCUCGUAUAGCCAGACAACAACUCUUUAUGCGGAGGGUAACAUGGAGCCAUUAUAUGUUCUCCAUGGCUGGCUUGGGGGUGUUACACAGGUUUUUGAAGCAACACUACUUCCUUAGCUUUUGAUGUAUAGAUAGCAGAUAACAAUGAUGCAAAUCUCAGGUGCUUUUUUCAGAAGAUGGAAAUUAUUUGUAUACUGGAGGGCGGAAAGUAACUAAAAACUAUGUAUUUUCAAUAAUUGAUCUCAAGAUUCUUCAUCACAUAUAUCUUGGGACUAUACAAACAACUGAACCGGUCAUGAUAUUUUGUUAGGAUCCAUACAUAUUAUGUUGGGAUAUUUGGAAUACCGUGGACAUUGCUUACAAGCUGCUGAUACCAUAUGGGCAGGAAGGAACCAACAUUGUUAAGACACAAGAUAUUUUUGGCCUUCAUAUAAACUGUACAUAGAGUACAUAUGCUCUUGAAAUGCCACUACACACCUAUCCAAGGUCCAAUAAUUCCAAGGAUGAUUGCAACAGCCAUAAUUUGGCUCCAUCCAAUAUUCUUAUCUACAUUACUUGUAUUAUGAUGAAUGCAACAUUCCUCUUUCGGAUGGAGAUGUUUGGUUUGUUGGUGCUAAGUCACUUUUGGAAUAGUUGGGUGCCAUUGACUUGCAAGAUUUUCAUUUGGUUGGCUUUGCAGCAUCGAGUAUGGCCAUUGGAUCAUCGGGUCAGAAUAGGGGUGCAGCUCCAUAUUUCGAUCUGUUUUCUCUAAGCAUGACGAUGACAUUGUUGAUCUCAACUUGCUUCAGUGCAUAUAUGCUCAGCAGGUACACUGCUAUGUCCUAAGCUAUGCAGACGCCAGUCACAAAGAACUAGCAAAGCGGCUCAUGGAUUAGUUCCAGACACAUUGUAAAGAUCACAUUAUCUCUUGUUCUGUGUUGUAGCCUGAAGGUGAAGAUUGUAAUCAGAAAUGAAAGCUUGGUUUCCUUUUUUGAAAUAUUUAUUGGUCCCUCCAUGUAUAGGUGCCUCACGUUAGGAUGUCUGCGUGCGAACGCGAGUCUCCGCCUCUGGUUUUUUGUGCAUUCCAUGUUCGUGUCUGCCUAUAAUUUCUUAUGCAUCCCGUGUUGGUAUUCUCUA